rnacentral:rRNA from 1 species
UCCGGCGACCGGCGCACGGGUGAGUAACACGUAUGCAACCGUGCCCUCCUUCAGGGGGACAACCUUCCGAAAGGGAGGCUAAUCCCGCGUAUAUCGGUUUCGGGCAUCCGAGAUCGAGGAAAGAUUCAUCGGAAGAGGAUGGGCAUGCGGCGCAUUAGCUAGACGGCGGGGUAACGGCCCACCGUGGCGACGAUGCGUAGGGGUUCUGAGAGGAAGGUCCCCCACACUGGUACUGAGACACGGACCAGACUCCUACGGGAGGCAGCAG